rnacentral:rRNA from 1 species
UACGUAGGGGGCUAGCGUUGUCCGGAAUCAUUGGGCGUAAAGCGCGCGUAGGCGGCCCGGUAAGUCCGUUGUGAAAGUCAAAGGCUCAACCUUUGAAAGCCGAUGGAUACUGCCGGGCUAGAGUCCGGAAGAGGCGAGUGGAAUUCCUGGUGUAGCGGUGGAAUGCGCAGAUAUCAGGAGGAACACCGAUAGCGAAGGCAGCUCGCUGGGGACGGUACUGACGCUGAGGCGCGAAAGCGUGGGGAGCGAACAGG